rnacentral:rRNA from 1 species
ACGGCUCAGUAACACGUGGAUAACNUGCCCUUGGNUCCGGCAUAACCCCGGGAAACUGGGGAUAAUUCCGGAUAACGCACAUAUGCUGGAAUGCUUUAUGCGUAAAAUGGAUUCGUCUGCCCAAGGAUGGGUCUGCGGCCUAUCAGGUAGUAGUGGGUGUAAUGUACCUACUAGCCAACAACGGGUACGGGUUGUGAGAGCAAGAGCCCGGAGAUGGAUUCUGAGACAUGAAUCCAGGCCCUACGGGGCGCAGCAGGCGCGAAAACUUUACAAUGCGGGAAACCGUGAUAAGGGGACACCGAGUGCCAGCACCAUAUGCUGGCUGUCCAGGUGUGUAAAAUACACCUGUCAGCAAGGGCCGGGCAAGACCGGUGCCAGCCGCCGCGGUAACACCGGCGGCCCGAGUGGUGAUCGUGAUUAUUGGGUCUAAAGGGUCCGUAGCCGGUUUGGUCAGUCCUCCGGGAAAUCUGACGGCUCAACCGUUAGGCUUUCGGGGGAUACUGCCAGGCUUGGAACCGGGAGAGGUAAGAGGUACUACAGGGGUAGGAGUGAAAUCUUGUAAUCCCUGUGGGACCACCUGUGGCGAAGGCGUCUUACCAGAACGGGUUCGACGGUGAGGGACGAAAGCUGGGGGCACGAACCGGAUUAGAUACCCGGGUAGUCCCAGCCGUAAACGAUGCUCGCUAGGUGUCAGGCAUGGCGCGACCGUGUCUGGUGCCGCAGGGAAGCCGUGAAGCGAGCCACCUGGGAAGUACGGCCGCAAGGCUGAAACUUAAAGGAAUUGGCGGGGGAGCAC